rnacentral:rRNA from 1 species
CAUUUAUGGACAGAACUAGAGAUAGUUCCUCUUCUUCGGAAGCCAGAAAAACAGGUGGUGCACGGUUCUCGUCCAGCUCCGUUUCGUGCAGGAUAUUGGGUUAAUUCCCGCAACGAGCGCAACCCCUAAUCUUAUGUUGCCAGCACUUCGGGUGGGAACUCAUGAGAGACUGCCGCAGACAAAUGCGGAGGAAGGCGGGGAUGACGUCAAAUCAUCAUGCCCCUUAUGACCUGGGCUACACACGUACUACAAUGGGAGUUAAUAGACGGAAGCGAGAUCGCGAGAUGGAGCAAACCCGAGAAACACUCUCUCAGUUCGGAUCGUAGGCUGCAACUCGCCUACGUGAAGUCGGAAUCGCUAGUAAUCGCAGGUCAGCAUACUGCGGUGAAUACGUUCCCGGGCUUAUGUACAGCACCGCCCGUCACACCACGAAAGUCGGAAGUGCCCAAAGCCGGUGGGGUAACUUCGGGAGCCAGCCGUCUAAGGAUAAAGUCGAUGAUUGGGGUGAGUCGGUAACGAAGGUAACCAAUC